rnacentral:rRNA from 1 species
CCUACGGGAGGCAGCAGUGGGGGAUAUUGCACAAUGGGGGAAACCCUGAUGCAGCGACGCCGCGUGUGGGAAGACGGUCCUCUGGAUUGUAAACCACUGACCCCAGGGACGAAGAUGACGGUACCUGGGGAGGAAGCUCCGGCUAACUACGGGCCAGCAGCCGCGGUAAUACGUAGGGAGCGAGGGUUGUCCGGAAUUACUGGGUGAAAAGGGUGCGUAGGCGGGACUGCAAGUUGGGUGUCAAAUCUACCGGCUCAACCGGUAGCCGCACUCAAAACUGCAGUGCUUGAGUGAAGUAGAGGCAGGCGGAAUUCCUAGUGUAGCGGUGAAAUGCGUAGAUAUUAGGAGGAACAUCAGUGGCGAAGGCGGCCUGCUGGGCUUUUACUGACGCUGAGGCUCGAAAGUGUGGGGAGCAAACAGGAUUAGAUACCCCAGUAGUC